AGUGGCGCACGGGUGCGUAACGCGUAUGCAUCUGCCUUGUACUGGGGUAUAGCCCAGGGAAACUUGGAUUAAUCCCCCAUAGUGUGGCAUCACUAAAGGUUACGGUACAAGAUGAGCAUGCGUCCUAUUAGUUAGUAGGUGUGGUAACGGCACACCUAGACUUCGAUAGGUAGGGGUCCUGAGAGGGAGAUCCCCCACACUGGUACUGAGACACGGACCAGACUCCUACGGGAGGCAGCAGUGAGGAAUAUUGGACAAUGGGCGAAAGCCUGAUCCAGCCAUGCCGCGUGCAGGAAGACGGCCUAUGGGUUGUAAACUGCUUUUAUACGGGAAGAAUAAGGAUCACGUGUGAUCUGAUGACGGUACCGUAAGAAUAAGCACCGGCUAACUCCGUGCCAGCAGCCGCGGUAAUACGGAGGGUGCAAGCGUUAUCCGGAAUCAUUGGGUUUAAAGGGUCCGUAGGUGGACCAAUCAGUCAGUGGUGAAAGUCUGCAGCUCAACUGUAGAACUGCCAUUGAUACUGUUGGUCUUGAAUUGUUAUGAAGUAGCUAGAAUAUGUAGUGUAGCGGUGAAAUGCAUAGAUAUUACAUAGAAUACCGAUUGCGAAGGCAGGCUACUAAUAAUUGAUUGACACUGAUGGACGAAAGCGUGGGGAGCGAACCAGAUAGAUACCCUGGUAGUCCACGCCCA
rnacentral:rRNA from 1 species